UACGUAGGGGGGCAAGCGUUAUCCGGAUUUACUGGGUGUAAAGGGGGGCGCAGACGGCAAUGCAAGCCAGGAGUGAAAGCCCGGGGCCCAACCCCCGGGACUGCUCUUGGAACUGCAUGGCUGGAGUACAGGAGGGGCAGGCGGAAUUCCUAGUGUAGCGGUGAAAUGCGUAGAUAUUAGGAGGAACACCGGUGGCGAAGGCGGCCUGCUGGACUGUGACUGACGUUGAGGCCCGAAGGCGUGGGGAGCAAACAGG
rnacentral:rRNA from 1 species